GGUCCAGUAACUCAGCGGUAGAGUAUCUGCCUUUUAAGCAGAGAGUCGUUGGUUCGAUUCCAACCUGGAUCACCA
rnacentral:tRNA from 3 species